AUAGUCCAAUCAUAUCGAAGGCUUAUGCUACGGCAUAGGGUGUUGAUGUAGGUACGGUUGGACUUU
rnacentral:ncRNA from 1 species